UUUUCAUCAGACAAUCUGUGUGAGCACUGCAAAGUACGCUUCUUUAAGGUAAGGAGGUGAUCCAACCGCAGGUUCCCCUACGGUUACCUUGUUACGACUUCACCCCAGUCAUGAAUCACAAAGUGGUAAGCGCCCUCCCGAAGGUUAAGCUACCUACUUCUUUUGCAACCCACUCCCAUGGUGUGACGGGCGGUGUGUACAAGGCCCGGGAACGUAUUCACCGUGGCAUUCUGAUCCACGAUUACUAGCGAUUCCGACUUCAUGGAGUCGAGUUGCAGACUCCAAUCCGGACUACGACGCACUUUAUGAGGUCCGCUUGCUCUCGCGAGGUCGCUUCUCUUUGUAUGCGCCAUUGUAGCACGUGUGUAGCCCUGGUCGUAAGGGCCAUGAUGACUUGACGUCAUCCCCACCUUCCUCCAGUUUAUCACUGGCAGUCUCCUUUGAGUUCCCGGCCGGACCGCUGGCAACAAAGGAUAAGGGUUGCGCUCGUUGCGGGACUUAACCCAACAUNNNNNNNNNNNNNNNNNNNNGUUGCGCUCGUUGCGGGACUUAACCCAACAUUUCACAACACGAGCUGACGACAGCCAUGCAGCACCUGUCUCACGGUUCCCGAAGGCACAUUCUCAUCUCUGAAAACUUCCGUGGAUGUCAAGACCAGGUAAGGUUCUUCGCGUUGCAUCGAAUUAAACCACAUGCUCCACCGCUUGUGNNNNNNNNNNNNNNNNNNNNAUUAAACCACAUGCUCCACCGCUUGUGCGGGCCCCCGUCAAUUCAUUUGAGUUUUAACCUUGCGGCCGUACUCCCCAGGCGGUCUACUUAACGCGUUAGCUCCGGAAGCCACGCCUCAAGGGCACAACCUCCAAGUAGACAUCGUUUACGGCGUGGACUACCAGGGUAUCNNNNNNNNNNNNNNNNNNNNCGUGGACUACCAGGGUAUCUAAUCCUGUUUGCUCCCCACGCUUUCGCACCUGAGCGUCAGUCUUUGUCCAGGGGGCCGCCUUCGCCACCGGUAUUCCUCCAGAUCUCUACGCAUUUCACCGCUACACCUGGAAUUCUACCCCCCUCUACAAGACUCAAGCCUGCCAGUUUCGAAUGCAGUUCCCAGGUUGAGCCCGGGGAUUUCACAUCCGACUUGACAGACCGCCUGCGUGCGCUUUACGCCCAGUAAUUCCGAUUAACGCUUGCACCCUCCGUAUUACCGCGGCUGCUGGCACGGAGUUAGCCGGUGCUUCUUCUGCGGGUAACGUCAAUUGCUGCGGUUAUUAACCACAACACCUUCCUCCCCGCUGAAAGUACUUUACAACCCGAAGGCCUUCUUCAUACACGCGGCAUGGCUGCAUCAGGCUUGCGCCCAUUGUGCAAUAUUCCCCACUGCUGCCUCCCGUAGGAGUCUGGACCGUGNNNNNNNNNNNNNNNNNNNNAGUCUGGACCGUGUCUCAGUUCCAGUGUGGCUGGUCAUCCUCUCAGACCAGCUAGGGAUCGUCGCCUUGGUGAGCCGUUACCUCACCAACAAGCUAAUCCCAUCUGGGCACAUCUGAUGGCAAGAGGCCCGAAGGUCCCCCUCUUUGGUCUUGCGACGUUAUGCGGUAUUAGCCACCGUUUCCAGUAGUUAUCCCCCUCCAUCAGGCAGUUUCCCAGACAUUACUCACCCGUCCGCCACUCGUCAGCAAAGCAGCAAGCUGCUUCCUGUUACCGUUCGACUUGCAUGUGUUAGGCCUGCCGCCAGCGUUCAAUCUGAGCCAUGAUCAAACUCUUCAAUUUAAAAGUUUGAUGCUCAAUGAAUUAAACUUCGUAAUGAAUUACGUGUUCACUCUUGAGACUUGGUAUUCAUUUUUCGUC
rnacentral:rRNA from 1 species